UACAGAGGUCUCAAGCGUUGUUCGGAUUCACUGGGCGUAAAGGGCGCGUAGGCGGCGUUUUAAGUCGGGGGUGAAAGCCUGUGGCUCAACCACAGAAUGGCCUUCGAUACUGGGACGCUUGAGUAUGGUAGAGGUUGGUGGAACUGCGAGUGUAGAGGUGAAAUUCGUAGAUAUUCGCAAGAACACCGGUGGCGAAGGCGGCCAACUGGACCAUUACUGACGCUGAGGCGCGAAAGCGUGGGGAGCAAACAGG
rnacentral:rRNA from 1 species